AGGAUGAACGCUGGCGGCGUGCCUAAAACAUGCAAGUCAUACGGGCUACCUUCGGGUAGCCAGUGGCAAACGGGUGAGUAACACGUGGGAACGCGCCUUGGGGUGGGGAAUAACGCUGAGAAAUCAGUGCUAAUACCGCAUACGGUCUAACGACUAAAGCAGCAAUGCGCCCCGAGAGCGGCCCGCGACCGAUUAGCUAGUUGGUGGGGUAAUGGCCUACCAAGGCGGUGAUCGGUAGCUGGUCUGAGAGGAUGGUCAGCCACACUGGGACUGCGAACGGCCCAGACUCCUACGGGAGGCAGCAGUUAGGAAUUUUCGGCAAUGGACGAAAGUCUGACCGAGCGACGCCGCGUGGAGGAUGACGCCUUUCGGGUGUAAACUCCUUUUCUGCGGGAAGAUAAUGACGGUACCGCAGGAAUAAGCACCGGCUAACUACGUGCCAGCAGCCGAC
rnacentral:rRNA from 1 species